rnacentral:tRNA from 1 species
GGGGUUGUGGCUCAGAGGUAGAGCGCUGGCCUAGCAUGCCCGAGGUACUGGGUUUGAUCCUCAGCACCA